rnacentral:lncRNA from 1 species
AACUUCCCUGAAUUUAGAGUUAUACUCAGGAGAUACACUUUGGGGUGUGUGUGUGUUUCAGAGAGGCGUAAAUGAGAUGGGGACACCCACCUCAGAUGUGGGUAGCUCUCUUCCGUGGUUAGGGUUCCAUACUGAGAAGGGCACCAUACUGGAGCUGGCAGUGCAGCCGCACUGGUCUCUUUCUGUUUCCUGAUUGAAGGAUGUGGUAUACUCGCUGCUGCACCUUCCUGUCUCCAUGCCUCCCAGCCACUACCCACGGGCCCCUCAAACUGAGCCAAGACAAACCUGUCUUCUUGAAGCUGCUUCUGUCUCACAUUUUGUCAGUGAUGUGACUAAUGCACCUUCUUAGCACGAUGCAUUUACUCAGUUUCAGAAACUCAGUGGAGGCAGCCAGCUUCACACUUGAGCUUACUGCACAGAGCACGCCUCUCUUGGAGAGGAACCUGCAGCAAGAGCUUAAACAAAUCCACUUCCACUCAAGGCGGAUUUAUUUAUUGACCUUUUAGUCUGGAGCCCUGGGAACCUGCCUCCUCCAGCACCUUCUUAAUCCUACUGUGGUUUCACACCAAUGUAAGAGUUUUGCUAAUGUUAUAUUCCUUCAAACUAAGUGGAAAACAACAUAGGAGAAGGCUCAAAACUUUGUUUCCAUUUCAAACCAGACAAAUACUUGUAUAUUUG